rnacentral:rRNA from 1 species
UACGUAGGGGGGCAAGCGUUUGUCCGGGAAUCAUUGGGCGUAAAGCGCGUGUAGGCGGUCCGGUAAGUCCGCUGUGAAAGUCGGGGGGCUCAACCCUCGGAUGCCGGUGGAUACUGUCGGGCUUGAGUACGGAAGAGGCGAGUGGAAUUCCUGGUGUAGCGGUGAAAUGCGCAGAUAUCAGGGAGGAACACCAAUUGCGAAGGCAGCUCGCUGGGACGUUACUGACGCUGAGACGCGAAAGCGUGGGGAGCAAACAGG